UACAGAGGUGGCAAGCGUUGUUCGGAAUUACUGGGCGUAAAGGGCGCGUAGGCGGCUUGGUCAGUCCCGUGUGAAAUCCCUCGGCUCAACUGAGGAACUGCACGGGAAACUGCCUGGCUUGAGUUCGGGAGAGGGAAGCGGAAUUCCGGGUGUAGCGGUGAAAUGCGUAGAUAUCCGGAGGAACACCGGUGGCGAAGGCGGAUCUCUGGGCCUGUUCUGACGCUGAGGCGCGAAAGCUAGGGGAGCGAACAGG
rnacentral:rRNA from 1 species